rnacentral:rRNA from 1 species
UACGGAGGGUGCGAGCGUUGUCCGGAAUCACUGGGCGUAAAGGGCGCGUAGGCGGCCUGAUAAGUAGGGGGUGAAAUCCUGCGGCUUAACCGAGGAACUGCCGUCCAAACUGCUUCGCUUGAGACCGGGAGAGGUGAGUGGAAUUCCCAGUGUAGCGGUGAAAUGCGUAGAUAUUGGGAGGAACACCAGUGGCGAAGGCGGCUCACUGGACCGGUACUGACGCUGAUGCGCGAAAGCGUGGGGAGCAAACGGG